GGAGGAGGAGGGACCGAGGCGCAGGAAGCCGAGCAGGAAGCGAGCCCGGCGGCCGCGUUUUCCUGGGGAAGCGGCGGGCGGAGUGGCGCAGCCGGCGGGGCCCGGGAGCCUCCGCCUCGAUGGGGUGUUGAAAAAUCUCUAGAGCUUUGGAAAGCUGAAUGGACUAAACAUGAAGAGCUUGAAAGCCAAGUUCAGGAAGAGUGACUGCAGUAUUCGACCCUGACAGGAGAACAAAAAAUUGAAAAAGCAGCCCUCACAUCUGUAGGAAUGGACGUGAAUGGACACUGGUCACCUGAGCUCUCUUUCCCUCAGCACUCCCAGCUCCUUGUCUUCAUUCUCCUUGUCUUCACUUAGGUUCUGCCUUGUGGGACCAGUUUAUGGCCACUUUCCUUUUUUCUUUCGAGGUGUGCAAACAAUCUCUGUAUUUAAAUAAGUGAUAUCCUGUCAUUUGCCAUCUGAACUCAAGGGACAUUUGAACUGUAGCUGCUGGUUGAACCACACUCAUUUCAAUAUGGAGCUUCUCAAUGAAACGCAUUUUUUUAAAGUGA